rnacentral:lncRNA from 1 species
AUGGUGGUCACUUAGUCAUCAUACCAAAGAAACGUUGAUAAAAGACCUGGGGUCAACAGAAAGGGCUUGAGUCCUGACAGCGAUUGAUCUAAAUUAUUUUUUAACAGUCUCCAGAGAUGGAAAUUCCACAGUCACUCUUGUCAAGUUGUUCUUUACUACUACAAAGUUGUUCCUGAUGUUUAAUUUCAAUCUCUCUUAUUAUUAAGGACAUUUGCUCUCAUCAUUUGAUAUGCACUGAUCAUAUUCUUUACAGAAGAUUUUGCAUACUCUAGACUUCAGUCUUUCAGCUGUACUUAAUUUAAACAGCUUGAACCUUAUCUCUUAUUUUUUCCUUCUAGUGAUCCACGUUCUCCCUCUGAUCUGAUUCAUGAAGUAUGCUGACCAGCAUUGGACACAGUAUUCCAGCCGAGGCCCUACAAAGUGGUGUAAAGAGAUCUUAUGCCCUAUUUAAAAUUUCUGUAAUUUGGAAAUCCUCUUUUCCAAAUGAAUAAGUCAUAGUGAAUUCAGUCUUCUGCCUCUGAUUACCUCCUUGUAUGGAAACAUUUGAAGAAAAUGAAUGUACUGUCACCUCAGAUAGAAAGGACAAUCAUCUUCCAGGUUCUGUAAUAUAUUUUUAGCUCUAAAACAUAGUUUUUCAGGGGAAAUGGACUCUAGACAUUCUCAUAUAAUGGGUUUAGAUACUAGGCAAUAGUGGUUUCUGAGUUUGUUUUAAUUGUUUUUCUUCUAAAAUGCCUUAAACUAUAUUAAUAUUUGUGUAUCAUAUAGUUCAGUGCUGGUGUUCUUAUAGAACUACUACAAUGACCCCUGAUCAAUAAUAACUCAUUUAGAUCCCCAUUUACUCAGUUAAGUCACUGGAUGCCAUUUGAUGUGCUGUCUGCUGUUGUCCUUCAUGAGUCUCACUGAUUAGUCCAAGUUCAAAUUACAGUGAGAAACGGUUGCACAGCUCAGGUAUAACUUUCUAUGAGCUUAUAUAGUAAAAAAUUGUGCUUGUAAUACUGGAAAUUUCAGUUACAACCUGUUUCUCUCCUUUUCUCACAUAGCCCAAGUCAUGGUCAAAAUGACUGAUUUUUAAAAAUGAAAAUAAUACAUAUGAAAUGAGUAAUUUUUAAUACAGAAAAUAAAAAAAAUGCUGUGUAAAAACA